UACGUAGGGACCAAGCGUUGUUCGGAUUUACUGGGCGUAAAGGGCGCGUAGGCGGCAAUUCAAGUCAGCUGUGAAAUCUCCGGGCUUAACUCGGAACGGUCAGCUGAUACUGCUUUGCUAGAGUGCAGAAGGGGCAAUCGGAAUUCUUGGUGUAGCGGUGAAAUGCGUAGAUAUCAGGAGGAACACCGGUGGCGAAGGCGGGUCUCUGGGCAGUAACUGACGCUGAGGAGCGAAAGCGUGGGGAGCGACCAGG
rnacentral:rRNA from 1 species